GCGGCAGUAGUUCAGUGGUAGAAUGUCUCCUUGCCAAGGAGAAGGUCGCCGGUUCGAGUCCGGUCUGCCGCUCAA
rnacentral:tRNA from 1 species